AAGAAUAUGGAACACCAUAGAUCGCCAUUAGCGCUCUAUAAAAAUAAUGGAGAUCAACGACUUCUGCGGCAUUUGUGGGAAAGACAGCAACUGAACCAUUGAAUCCAAACAGGCAGCAAUAAAUCUGCCACACUACUGCUGCAUAACCCCAUGAGAAGGUUCGCAUUUGCUUCCGUCUUCUCUUCACUUUCCUGUGGCUAUCUCAGGCAUGUGUGCUGCUUUCUACAUCAGCACCUCUUGUUGCUGAAUCUCAGCCUGAACUUUUUGUAGAUGAUGAGGACAAACAAUGCCAGGAUGACCUUGGCUGGAACUAUGUGUAUGAUGAAGGGGUGGCGACUUGCGUAUCAUGUGGAAGUUGUGAGUGUGGUCAUAUUGCCAAUAAUCCACACUGCGUGAAAUGCCAAGAUGGUGGCAUUCUGAAAUGUUCAAGUUCUCCAGAGACGGUCACGAGCAUUCCACACCUGGAGACUACUAGAUUUCCUCCGACCACCUUGACAGUCUUGCAGACAACAUGGAAGUCAUUCAUGACUUCACCAUUGUCAGCCAACACCACUACAAGUUAUUCCAGCAUGCAGACUUACGUUUCAAUUGCAAUCGGUGUGAUAGGGCUAGGUGUCAUCCUUUUGGCAGUGGUUUUGUGCAUUUUCCUGUACAGACGCUACCGUCCAAAGAGAGAACAUCGUGCCCUCGUUACUCAGGACACUGAAAGGCAUGAGCAGCAUCCAAUGAUGCCAUUCAGUUCUGUGGAUAAUGAUGCUCCUGACAACUAGACUGCCGUGAAGCUCUUGACAGGUGUUAGGUCUGUCUCAGUGUAAGCAAGACCCUAUGAUAACGGUCAAUCUUUAAAUUUGGGGUAUAAUUUUUCCUGUCCCUGUUACAUCUGAUUAAUGAUUUAGUAAGUUUAAAAACACAUUCGUUACUCUCCAAGAGUGAUUAAGUAAUGCAACUUUCCAGUCAAACCAAUAAAAUAGUUAGAAAUCAAUGUCAAUGAUAUCAUUUAACAAAUUGCACAGGUCAGGUGUAACAGGGACAGAAAAACAUGCCACAUACACAUGUAUGUCAGAUCCUAAAUUUAUAGAACGACCCACAUGGAAGACUUGUACAUGUUAACUGAAAUCAGGUGCGGCUAUUCACUUACAUGUAAACACAAACUGUUCAAAGACGAUUCACAUCACAUAAAAUGAACACUCAACAAAAAUGUAAAUAAAACCUCAUGAUCAAUUUUAUUCAAGUACUGCCACUUUGCACAAAUUUUUCAAAUCAGCUUUUUGAGCAAAUUUUGACAAUAAAAGAAGUAAAAACUUGGAUGGAAUUUCAGGCU
rnacentral:misc_RNA from 1 species